AAUCCUCUUGACAUCUGAAACCCUAAUUGGAGUCGCCGCCCCCAAUUUUCCCGAUCCAAUCGACUACGGUUCACUGAGUAUGAGCUUGAGACACUAUAUUAUGACUGUAAACAAAAAGAGACAGAGAAAUAAGAGAAAUAUAUAGAGGAGACAGAGAGAUAGAAAGAAACAAAAGGAGAUUGAUACAAAAUAGAUAGAGAGGAUAAUACAUCAGCCUUCAAUCUAAGCCCUAUUCUUGGAUCCUUAGAUUAAUUGAACAAGUCAGCCCCUUUUUGUCAAACCCUAAUGGAAGCCCUUUCUCUCUGAUUGCAUUAAAGUCCGAUUGAGAGUUUCGAAUUGAAGUCCGACUGCGAGUUCCGAUUGAGAGUGACCAGUGAAUGAGAAGCGAGAUUAGCGACAAAGACAAAAGAGAGAGAGUUUUCUUUGUUAGAGAUGAAGUUGUAGGAUAGAUGAUUUUG
rnacentral:lncRNA from 1 species